GUCUCAGAAAUGUGACCUCACUGGGGUAAGACUACCCGCUAGACUUAAGCAUAUUAAUCAGCGGAGGAAAAGAAACUAACAAGGAUUCCCUCAGUAACUGCGAGUGAAGCGGGAUGAGCUCAAUGUG
rnacentral:rRNA from 1 species